GUUGUCUACCAUAAUAAGGUGAAAACCCCGGAUUCCAUUCGAACUCCGAAGUAAAGCGCCUUAUGGCUGGGUUAGUACUAAGAUCCAAUUCGAACUCCGAAGUUAAGCGCCUUAAGGCUGGGUUAGUACUAAGGUGGGGAACCGCUUGGGAAGUCCCAAUGUCGAUAACC
rfam:Tetrahymena thermophila SB210 genomic scaffold scf_8254815, whole genome shotgun sequence.